UAGGUUUCGGUUCAGCCUUUUAUGUUAAAAUCCCAGUUUUAUAGCAGUGUAAAGGACAGAACGCAGGUGUACAGGGAAUUGGAGUCUCUAAGGAGGGACAAAGUUCUGCGUAUUUUCAAAUUAAAUACUGGACAAGAUGAUUAUGCUAUAAUGUUUUUGGAUGACUACAUAAAGCAG